UUGCUUUUAUCUAUUUUUACAAAUUUUUGGCGACUAAUUCCCAAUUUUCCCAGCCUAAACAACUAUUUCUGCCAAACAGCGGCAGUUGUAAAGCAAAAGAAAAAGACGCCUCCUUAAUUUUCUUCAUUGCACUAUACCUCUUCCUUCUUUCUCAGAGUGAAUAACGCAUCGCCCUUUACACUGCUUUCUUCCUAACCGACAUUAUCGCUACCAUUGCUGAAGACAUUAUUACUGAAAAUAUAAUGGCCCAUCAUCGACAGUAUCCGACUGUCCCUAAUACUGCUUCCCUAGAAGGGUUCAACAGCCCUUAUGUAAAGACGCCAUUAUAAAGCAUCCUCAUAAGAAAGAGAGGUUUUUGGAUAAUUUUCCAACAUGGAACAUGCCCAAGAAACAUCUAGAUAUCACCAACCUCAAAUUUUUUCAGCUAGGAAAGGGAAGAAAAUAAAGAGGAAAAUUCAGAAGAAGUUUCCCAAAUGCCAAGUAAUGAGGAACUAAUAGAAAAGUGCCAAUUGGAACUGAAAUUCUUAAUUUGGAUCAAGCAUAUAAGGAUCAAUGUCAUGAAGCACUCCUUCAUAUAUACAUGAAGAACUUUCCACACAAGUUCUGGUCAUUUCCAUGAAGUUGAAGUUCAUGACUUAACUUCUCUAUAUACCCAGAGCAAGCAAUGCCUGCAGCAGUCAAUCCUACGAGUCUCUUUUCCAGAGAACCUCACUUGGUUUUUUGCCAAAAUUUCAUCUUGAUUUCAAUGUGUGCAUAUGUGAAGGUAAGUCCAUAACUUCAUGUUUUCUCUUGGACAACCUAAUGUGAUUAUAACACCUUUAACGGUUGUAAUCAACUUUGGUCUUUUGCUUGUUUUCGGUUUUAACUUUCUCAGCUUUCGAGUGACUCAAAUUUAAAAGAAAUGUUUAAACCAUAAAUCUAUAUAUAUGUAUAUAAAGCUGGGAAUAGAAAAGGUGAUGUGGCACCUUCCUAUGCCCAGCAAUUGCAUUAUCUCUUUUCUCCUUUUUGGGGCAAUUUUCACUUUCCCCCCCUUUUUUUUUUGCCUAUUUCUUUCAUUUAUUAUUUAUGUGUGUUGCAUAAGGAAAAACUCAACACUCGCUUUUAAUUUUUACCAUCAAGUCACCAACAGUCGCUUCCUUAUUUUCCUUCUCUUCUUCAUUCUCUCGUUGUCCACCGAUUAUGGUGUCUAUUGAUGGGAACAAAGCGCCUCCAUCUCUUCUCCUUAUUUUUCCUUCUGUCAUUGGUUCGUAUUUCCCGCAAAUUUUUCUCCCACUACAGAUUGCUAUUUUGCUUAUCAUUGACCACUUGAUGAUUAUUCGACCCAUUUUAUGCAUUUUGAAGUGCUGAUUUUUAGUUAAUCAACCCAUAUUAUUUUUUCCAGUUUAUCACUCCAAGGACUCUAUUACCAAUGUACUACUGAUAUCAGUAGUUACAGGUACAAUAUUCUUGCCUGUGAUUAUGUAAUUUAUUUUUUCUGUGGAUUUUGUGUGUUUGUUAAUUUUCUCUUACCUUUUUCCUUUGUCAGGAGAUCCAAAAAGGGAUUCGUUUGAGUCACAUGACUUCCAUCUAUGAAAUUCUUUUGAUAAGAUCAUGAUAAUUGGACAAAUUAGGAGACUAUACAAGUUUGAUAUUAUUUUUCUUUUGCCCUUUCAUCUAAUAGGUAUUCUUGUGAAAUACAUCUCAUGAGAAGUGUUAUUUUUGUAGUCCAUGGUAUAUAGUAAAUGGUUAAGUUCAAGUAGUUGAAUUCCUAUGACAUCUCGAGUAAAAAAUUUAUAUCGUGUAGUUUACCUUUUAUGUAUUCAUUUGUCUAUCUCAUGGGGACAUGGAGAUGCUAUACUCAA